rnacentral:rRNA from 1 species
AGCGAACGCUGGCGGCAGGCCUAACACAUGCAAGUCGAACGAACCUUUCGGGGUUAUUGGCGGACGGGUGAGUAACACGUGGGAACGUGCCUUUAGGUUCGGAAUAACUCAGGGAAACUUGUGCUAAUACCGAAUGUGCCCUUCGGGGGAAAGAUUUAUCGCCUUUAGAGCGGCCCGCGUCUGAUUAGCUAGUUGGUUGAGGUAAUGGCUCACCAAGGCGACGAUCAGUAGCUGGUCUGAGAGGAUGAUCAGCCACAUUGGGACUGAGACACGGCCCAAACUCCUACGGGAGGCAGCAGUGGGGAAUCUUGCGCAAUGGGCGAAAGCCUGACGCAGCCAUGCCGCGUGAAUGAUGAAGGUCUUAGGAUUGUAAAAUUCUUUCACCGGGGACGAUAAUGACGGUACCCGGAGAAGAAGCCCCGGCUAACUUCGUG